rnacentral:lncRNA from 1 species
GUAGGAAGCGUGGCGCCUCAGCCACAAUCGUAAUCACCUUUAAUCUCUUGCUCAAAAUAACCCAAAGUCAAGCUGACCCUCGGUCUAUCUUGAGGCCCUCGGCUGCCCCCGACUUGAAGAUUCUCCCCCGUUGCGUCUAAGUGGCUGCUCCAAGUUCCCGUCCCCGCUGGCAUCUCCCUGCCUCACCAUCCGCCACAUUCCUACACCAAAAGUUGACGCCGCAUUCUGGACUCCUCUCUUUCCUCCCCCCACACCUGGUCCAACUCCAGCAGCAUCUAAUCCACCUGCAGAAGCAUCUGGAAUCACUCCACUCCCACCACGACCGCCCAAACCCACCUCCAGCGGGGACGACGCCCAAGGUACCACCUGGUCUCCUGGCACCCACAAUCCAUUCUCCCUCCACAGCCAGAGGGAGCCUCGCUAACCACCAAGGCGGUCCUGCGGCCCCGCGCAGCCCUGAGGGCGUCCAGUCCUCCACGCGUGGAGGAGAAUCCGGCCUCCAGACACAAUCUCCAGGGCCCACUGGAUGGGCCUCCGCUCCUUCUCACUCCCAGUCCUCUGGUGCAUGCCCCCUUCCUGGCUGAAGAACCUGCACCAGCCGCCCCUCCGCCUGGGAAGCUCCCUCCUGUCAUUCACUCCGAGACGCAGCAGCGUUGCCCCAAGAGCCCUCCCUGCUCUGCACCCCGAAUUCACUCUCAGCCCCCACCUAGUUUAAAUCCUGGCCCUUCUCUCUCCCUGAUGUUCUGCUUGGUUAUUUACUUUUAAUUCAUGUUGGAGCUCCUCCUGCCACUGCAAGAGCAGGAGCUGUGUGUCCUGGUCACUGCUGUGGCAUCCCAGGGCCGGCGCGGUGCCCAGCAGCCAGGACUGGACAGACUCGGGCCACGCUGCGCACGGGCUGGGAUGCGCUGGCUCUGCUUCCUCUUCCGUUGAAUGGGAGUAAAGACCACUCCUCCCAGGGAGCUUGUGGUUUCUCACAAACAUUAACUUCCUUUUGUACUUUUUUAAAGAGGUGGGUCUCGCUCUGUUGCCCGGGCUGGAGUGCAGUGGUACAAUCAUAGCUCACUGCAGCCUUGGCCUCCUGGGCUCAAGCCAUCCUCCUGCCUCAGCUUCCCAAAGCACUGGGAUUACAGGUGUAUGUCACGACACCCGGCCAUCCACUUCAUGUUUGAUCAAGCCCAUAUGCUUCCCUGUUACCCCCUCAGGAAAGAUAUGACAUGCCCGCAGGGGGUUAGGGGGUCCUAACCCUAACCCACAGGGGGUCCUGCAUCUCAGCUUUGGGCCAUACCCCGCCAGGUCUCAUCGGUCUGUGCACAUCCGUACCAGCUUCAGUGUCUGACGCCCCUCACCCAGAUGGAGAGAGGCCUCCACGUGCCCGGCCCUGGGCAGCCACAAGAGCACCACAGGCCACGCCAUGGGACAUGGGACCACGCGCCCUCCGUGGUCUGGGUGGGAAGCCCCUCGAGUGAAGGGACUGGCCAGGGUCGCCUGGGCUAGCGGGGGAAAUGGGCUCCCAGAACCGCUGCGUUCACUCACAGCCGCUGGCGAGGUCUGCUUGUCGCACGGGGACCUCGGCUGUCCUGGGGGCAUCUGCCUGUCCCAGGACUGAGCCUACCAGGCUUCCACCUUGGGACAGCUCUGCCUCCCACAGGCAGGGCCUGGAGGGAGCUGGAAGGGGUGGCCGGCAUACCCUAUUCACAGAGAGUGCUGAUCAGGGGGACAGACACAGAAGCCGGGAGAACAGAGAACGGGGUCAGACUUUAGGCCAGGUGACCCUGGAAAUGUGCUCGGCUCUGGGCCUGUCUGGAGGGUGGAGAAGGGGCAGGAACCACCAGUGGCCUCUGGAAACAGGAGCACUCCUGGGACCCAGCUCUGUCCAACAAGCUGUGGCAGGUAGUGAGCCCCCCAUCAGCAGGGGUGUUCAAGCAGGAGCUGGCGCAGAGGACAGGGCUGCGGGGAGGUGGUGUGAGCGGGAAUGCCCCCGAUGGAAUGAGCUGGCCACUUCAGGGAACGUUGAAGGUGGAGGGAACACUCAAAAGGACGGAGUCUGAAGCACAUUUGACCUUCCCGAAGAAGCUCUCUCUCCUGGAUGGGUGGAGGGCGAGUGGCUUCGCAUCUGAGAGUGGGACCCACCCGCCUCGGACAGCAGAAAAGACCCCGACUCCAGCUGGAAUCUGCUGGGAUUCAGAGCCAGGGGCCAGCCAGUCUACCGCCUGCUGUGCCCCCGAGACCCGGAGCAGGAGGGUCCGUGUUCAUCUCCUGGCCUUGCUCUGUCCACUGAAGGUGGGUUGCCAGGGACUGGACAUCUAGGAACCACGGGGCCCCUGAAGGACUUACAGACCACCGUGGGGCCUGCAGGGAAAGAGGAGGCUUGGCUGGGCUAGGGAGGUGUGCGAGACGGGGUGUAACCAGGCAGGGCUUUGGCAGGAGCUGCGCUCGAAGGGCCCCAGCAGAAGAGUAGGAGUUAGGGAAGGAGGGUAACAGGCAUCCCAGGGAGAGGGGGUGUGUUCGAGCCAUGAAGGCAGGAGGCCCCUCCAGGGAGUGUGGGGUGUCCAGGGCACAGGCAGUGGCGGGCAAUGCUGGGCGGGAGGUGGGGCUGCAGGGGUAGCUGGGGGCAGGUGGAAGGGCUUGAGUGCUGGGAGAGGAGCCUGUUCUUUAACUGGAUCAUCUCCCCUCCCUGGGCUUCUCUGCUCAGAAGGGGUGGGAGGAGAGAGUGCAGCAUUGCUCCCUGAGAACCCUCUCCUGGGAGACCCUCUCCCGUCUGAAUACUGGAGUUGCUGGGAGAGCUGGCCACAGCAGGAGAGGCCAGGCAUCCGGGCCAGAGCCAGAGUCCCAGGUCUCCAAUUCCCACCUCCAGGCCUCAGUUUCCCCCAUCCUAACAUGAAAUUGUUGAACCAGAUGCCUCCAAGGACUCUUGGGAUUGUGUGCGGCGCCUGGUGUCUCCCCAGCUGGAGCCCUUAUGACAUCUCGUGAUCACCCUCACACACACUGCCCCCUGCAGAGAGCACCCCGCUGUCCCCCAGGGGACGAUGGGGACAGUGCGUGUGAGGUGGGCACCAAGUUCCUUCCGCGGCCUGUGUCAUCACUAAUGAAAUCAAGAAAUAUGGUGGUUCCAGGCUUUUAAACUUCUUACGACUGAAUUUGCAUAAUCACAACAGCCGUGCUGGGACGGGCGUGCAUCUGUCUAAAAAUAUUGUUCCUCGUCUCGAUCAUUUAAACCAGACAAGAGGCCAGGGCUGGUGUGGGGCCGGGGCCGGGGCUGGACUGAGGAUUCUGCUGAUGGAGCGAAGUUUCCAGCUCCAGGGGGAAAGGUGGGCGGAGGGCCAGACGUGUGGGGGAGGCGGGGAGAUGGUUGGAAAGCUAUAGAUCGAUAACUUUUCAUCGUUCCAAUGUUUUGCCGAUAGAUCAUGUUUACUGCUAACGUCUGCCUGCCUCUGCAGCUUGGCUCUCGCCCUGUCUGUCUCCCUGGGCUCUGCCGCAGAGCCCAUGAGGCUGUGAUAGGCAUAUCAGGGCAGUUGGGCCUCGAGCCGCAAGGCCUGCCACGGUGACCCGGCCCAGCUAGGAGCAGGUGGGGGGCCCGCCUGUGCACCUGCUGCGUCAGGGGACACAGAACCAUCGUGGGCCAGGAGAUGGUGUUGGCUCUGCCGUGCGCCUGCUGUGUGACCUUGGGCAUGUCACUUAACCUCUCUUAGCCUCAGUCCCCUCAUCUGUCAAACAGAGAUCAUCACGGUGUCCGCCUCCCAGGGUUGUGGUGGGGGAUGCAUCACCAGUUACUGAAGGCUCCUGGCAUGAUGCUGGGUACAAGGGGGUGCCCAGUAGACACUCAUUUCCUCCUCAGUAGGGGAGGGAAGGUGAGUGCAAGGCAGUAUGGGAGAUGGAGCCGCACGCUGGACAUAUGUGGGUUUUCCUUCAGCACAGUUGCCGGACCUGGUGCCCACAGAGGGGGGCCCAUUGAGGGAUCUCACCAGCUCUGGGGGCUCCCUCAUGGCUCCCCCAGACCCAGUCCUCUCUUCCGCUCCCUGCUCCCAUCCUAUUGUCCAGGGGAGGCUGGCGGGGGUUGCAGGCAAGGCCAGGGCUGGGAGGGCUGACUCGGCGGGGCUGGCUCCUGGGGACAUGGCCGCAGGGUUGGGUCUAGCAGGCCCCUGACCUCCGCCUUGCCCUCCAGGAGGCCGGGCUGGGGAGUAGAACGGAGGGGACUGCUGCCUGCACCACGUCCCCACUGUGUGAGGACUCGGUGAGUGCUGGGGAAGGUCAAGGGGCUAUGGGAACGGUGCCGAGUGCCUGACGACCUUACCAUGUGACCUUGGGCCAUCCACACGACUCAUGGAAGCUGCAGGGCUCCCCCUGCCCUGCCCCCAAGAGCAGGAACACCCUACAAGUGUGCAACAGAGAAAAGCUCCUGUUUCCUCGACGGUCCGCCGGUGUGCAGCACCUCCCGCAUGCAAAGCCCCUCCCCAGGGUUCAGGGAGGCAAAGGUUAGUGUUACCUCAAUUGGACAGAUGGGGAAACAGAGGCUCAGCAUGGGAAAGUCUAGCCAGGAAGUUGAGACUCCCCCACGGCAAGGCCCAGGAAGGCGGCAACAGCACUCCACUGCUACUUAAAAAUGCAGAUUCCCGGAGCGGGCGCAGUGGCUCACACCUGUCAUCCCAGCACUUUGGGAGGCGGAGGCAGGAGGACGGCUUAAGCCCAGGAGUUCGAACCCAGCCUGGGCAAUGUGAGACCCCAUCUUUACAAAAAAUAAAAAAAUUUGCCGGGUGUGGUGGCGUGCGCCUGUGAUCCCAGCUAUUUGGGAGGCUGAGGCAGGAGGAUCCCACCGGCUCAGGAGGUUGAGGCUGCAGUGAGCCAUGACUGUGCCACUGUGUUCCAGCCUGGGUGACAGAGAUCCUGUCUCAAAAAAAAAAAAGAAAAAAAAAGUGAAAAUGCAGAUUCCUGCCUCACCCCAGAAUAUGCAGAGGCAGGCCCCGGAGUGGGAGCCCAGGGCUGGGUGAGACAGACCCUCCCCAAGGCCCUGGCCCUGGAAGGUCGGGAAGGGGGUGCCUGGUCCCCUCUGCCUCCUCCCGACCAGAGCGGGGAGGGCUCAGGGCUGGGGCUGGGGCCCUGAGUGCUGCCUCCUGGGAUACACCAGGCUUAUUCUGCCAUCCUACCUCUGGGCUCGCAGCCCCGGGCUGCUCUGGAGUUAAUUAGAGACUCAAACAUUUAAUGGUCUGUUAUGCUUCCACGGGGCAUCUUUUAAAUUAAAAAACAUGAUGUGUGGCGCCGUUGGAGGGAGAAAUCACUUUGCAAUGGUUCCCUGCUCCGGCGCUGGCAGGGAUGUGGGGUGCGGGUAGCUGGCUGGCCCCGGGAGAGGAGGAAUGACCCUCUCCAGGAACACUGGUCCCCCUCCCACCACCGUCAGAAAGCGCAUCACUUAUGCCAGGCAAGGGUCUAGGUGUCCAAGGAUGCCUGGCACUUUCCUCAUCACGCCCUCAUAACCCUGGCAGCUGGAAGUUCUAUCUUUAGUCUGACCUGAAUCUCUCCAGUUGCUUUCAGGGAUGGCUGGUUUGAGACUGAAGGCAGACAGGUGCUGGUUCUUCUCUUCCUAGUAGUACCCUGACCUCCAGGAGCCCCUGAGCUCUGGGAAAGCCUUUCUGAUGAUCUCAAGCUUGCAGAUUCUGUCCCUGUUCUGACCGGGGGUCACAGCCUAGUGGUAGAACAGGACCUCCUGCUAAGAUGCUGGAAGGACCCUUUGGGGGAGCUGAGGCCUGGCUCCCCUCUCCCCAGGCGCAGGUGCACAGGCGUGUGGGCUGUCUGCAAGCACAGAUCCUGCCUCACAGCACCAUUACCACAAUGACUGAAUCUGUGUUUCCUGGCUGCUGUUAAUUGUGCUAGAGAUUUGGGGCAUGGUUUUGGGGUGAAGGUUAGAAAUGAGCAAUUAGCCCUCAAAUGUUAAACUAAUAAGGGAAAUAAAUGAUCAAGCAAAGUCUAGCCUAGGAGGUUUCAGCAACGGAAGAUGGGCUGGGACGGGGCUGGGAUGCGGCCGCCCCAGGCAGGGAGUGGCCCAGCCCGGUUUGCUCAGUGACCAGGAUGUUUCCACAGUCGGAAGGGGUGCUAUCUCCUGUCUGUUACUAGAAAGUUCUAUCAUAACCCCAGGGAUGCUGACAUAACACCACGAGACAAUUACUGUCCUACCGCCCAGGGCUCCUCCUGCCUCAAGAGGACAGGGAAGGGAUUUGCUGUCCCCACGCCCAUCAGCACCCGAGAGGCCUGUCACUCCCUCUGGAGGCUUCCCCGGCCACCAGCCCUCGCUCACACGGUCACACCAUUUCCACUCCCCAAGGCCACCUGUCGGGCACUGCGUGUCCCGGGGACUGGUGUCCCGGCUGCCAAGGAACCUCAGCUGGAUCUGGCUGAGCUGUGAAAAUAAAAAUGUGGGCUGGGUGCGGUGGCUCACACCUAUAAUCUCAGCAUUUUGGGAAGCCGAGGUGGGUGGAUCACUUGUGGCCAGGAAUUCUAGAACAGCCUGGCCAACAUGGUGAAACCCCAUCUCUACUAAAAAUACAAAAAUUAGCCGGGCGUGGUGGCAGGUGCCUGUAAUCCCAGCUACUCGGAAGGCUGAGGCAGGAGAAUCGCUUGAACCCAGGAGGCAGAGCUUGCAGUGAACUGACAUUGUGCCACUGCACUCCAGCCUGGGUGACAGAGUGAGAUUCUGUCUCAAAAAAGAAAAAAGAAAAGAAAAAUGAGAUGUCUCUUGACCUCAUCACACAGCCUUUCCCCGAAGCUUGUUCAGCGCCGUCCCCACUGUGGCUUGAGCUCACUUCCCAGGAAAGAGGUUUCUGCAGACAAAGCUACUGCCACAGCCUGGAGAUGCUUGCUUUUGACUUGCUUGUCAUCAGCUCCGUGGGGCAUAUUUCUCCCCACCGACAUGGCCUUCCCCUGCUUUGCGGCUCGGGGAACUCCAUGCCAUCCUGAGACAGGACACCCGCCUCUGUCUACCAACCUCUUUACUGUUUGAAUUCUUACAUUUAACUGUCAAUCCACCUGCAGACUAUUUUUCUGGUGUAAAGAAGGAUCAAAAUUGAUUUUCUCCCUUCCCCCAAAUAGGCAACAAAUUGCCCUGACACUAUGUUGAGUAAUCUAUUCCCUCGGGCUGAUUUCUGGUGCUCCAUCUCCACCCAGGCUGGAGCAUCUCCUGCCUCUCCUCCUACCCCCUGCAACCUUACGUGGCUCCCCAGUACCCUGGAGAGAGUCCGCACUUCUUAAAGGGGCUGACUGGGCAUCAGUGAGGGUCCUUGCUGUCUCUCAGCUCUCAUUUUGCCAUUUGAGGCUGUGAUUCGCCUGGACUUCUUGCAUUUUUGCUGACAUGCUGUUUCCUCUGCCUGGGACGUGAACCCCUCCCAGCACCCCAAUGUUCCCCCACUCAGUGGGCUUCUCUGUUCAGCCCCCAGAUUGGGGCUGGAACCUCCCCUCUGUAACCGGGGCUGCCUGUGCUUGCUCCGCUGUGACCCCACGCUGCCAGGCUCUGAUUCCCAUCUAUCUCCACCUAGAGUCCACCUUCUGCACCGAAAGCUCGGGGCAGGUAGGGCUGGAGCUGGGGUUUCCUUUCCAGGCACUGAGUAGGCAGUGCAUGCUGAAUGAAUUCAGGGAAAUAUUAACUCCAUAGCUGCCUAUAACGGAAGGCAACCAGGCCAGGCACCUGGCUCAUGCUUAUAAUCCCAGCACUUUGGGAGGCCGAGGCGGACAGAUCACCUGAGCUCAGGAGUUCCAGACCAGCCUGGCCAACAUGGCAAAACCCCGUCUCUACUAAAAAUACAAAAAUUAGCCAGGCGUGGUGGUGGGGGCCUGUAAUCCCAGCUACUCAGGAGGCUGAGACAGGAGAAUCGUUUGAUUCUCCUGCGGAGAUUGCAGUGAGCUGAGAUCGCACCACUGCACCCCAGCCUGGGCGACAGAGCGAGACUCCGUCUCAAAAAAUAUAUAAAUAAAUAAAGGAAGGCAAUCCGAAAUCGGCAUAUGUCACGGUUUUCCUGGGAUGGGCCCUGUGCAUGUCUGUUUCCCCGUAUAAUGGUGAAUACAUCCUCUUGUCACUCUAAAAGUAUCCCAUUUGGGGCAAUAAAUUGUCAUAUGGUCACCCUCUCAUGAGGCCUCUGUGUGGGACCAUUUCUCCUAUUUCUAUUGAUAACACCUCCCCUCUCUUCUUUUACCAAUUUCAGCACAAUAUCAAUCACCAUAACUCUAUAAAAAGCUUCCAUACCUGGCAGGAAAGACAUCCUUCAUCAUUCUCCCUUUUCUGCGUUUCUUUAGUCUUGCCAUUUGAAUAUUCAUUCAGAUGAACUUUUAGAAUGAUUUUAUCUCGCUUUGUAAAACUCGCUGCGAGCCUGUUGAUGGAUGGUGGUAAACCUGUGAAUUAAUUCUGGAAAGACUUUCGGGUAAUAUUCCAACACGGCACAUCUCACCACUCUUGUUUUCUUUGAUAUCUCUCAGGAUAACUUUAGAGAGUUUUUCAUAAUGAUCCUAAAUUUCUCUUGUCGAUUCAUUCCUGGGAAUUGGGAGGGUUUUGUUGUUUUAUUGGUGCCGUUGUAAGUGGGGACCGUUUAUUUAAUUAUGUGUCUCGACUAGCUGUUGUUAGUUCAGAGAAAAGUUAUUGAUUUGUAUAUGUUGGUUUGAUUUCCAGCCCAGCACCUUCGUAUUAAAUUUUUAUAUUAAGUCAUUUUUUUUCUCAGUUGCUUCUCUUGGGUUUCUAAGAUCUUGAAUCAUUUUGUCAGCAAAUAAUUACAAUUCUUCCCUGUAGACAUCCCAUUUAAUUCUGUUUCAUGUCUUAUUGCUAUGUCCAGAAUUUCUGGACAAUGAUGAAAGCAUUGCUGUUUUUUAAUAUAAGUUUCUGAAUGGGAAUCAUUAAAAAAUCUCAUCACCUAGAAUGAUUCUGGCUGUUGAACUGAGACAGAUUCUUGACUUCGAUAAAGACGUGUGUUUCUGGUUCUAUUUCUAGCAGUUACUUUAAAAUCCGAAAUUGGCACUGGAUUUUAUCAAAUGCCUUUCGUCAUUAUGAAUGUGCAUUCCAGCUGACCUGUGGACACUGUGUAGUUUAUUAAUAGAUUUAUCUAAUAUUAAGCCAACU